CAUUCCCAGCUCCUCCAGUUUUCAAAUCAAAGAAGCCACCGCCACUACCAUAAUCCUUAUUCUUCCCCCACUACUAAACCAUUCAUAUAGUCCAGCACCUCCAAAGCUUGCAUCAUCCUGGUUCUUCUCCUCCACAUAUAUGCUGGGAGCUGUGAUAUUGCCGUUCUUAUUCGCUGGUUUUCACUAUCUCCAUCUUCGGAACGAAAAAGACGUUUGUCUCUGUGGCGAGCCCGUGUCCUAGAGCCCCUUUUCUCUCUCCCCGAGGUCCGGUCGUUCCUCUCUCACCAUCAAUCCACUCCUCCCGCUGCAGUCAGGAAAGAUGCCCAGGAUAGGUCGUUACACGAAGAAAGCCCGGUUAGACACAGCAUGUCAGCAGCCUCAAGUAGGAUUUGAUGCGGCUUCAACUUCCCAUUAAGCGGAUUGCGUAAUUCUUGCAUCCAGUGGCAGUGGUUCCCCCGCAUUCUCAUCUUUACGCCCCUUUCGUCCGCCCCGUAGUGAACCACCGCCUGCUCCAUAGGCUUGCACGAAUGAUGUUCAAAACUCAGAGCCGGACACUGAAGACUUAGACCCAGAGGCAGAUGAGGUAGAUUCUUUUGAGCAACAUGUUGAUAACCUGUUUGCUGCAUCGGAUGCUUAGAAGCGUAAGGGACGCAAGACCACUGAAUUUUGGGAUGUUAAAACAAUUGAAUCUAAUGGCACAAUCAAACAGGUCAAAUUGAGUAUGAAGGAAGCUAUAAAGUCACCUAACGAAAGAAAGAUCGUACUUAGGUUUAACAGUGCACUGCAACCAGUUGGGGAUGAAUCAGGUAUAUUGAGUGGCGUUAUGGGACUGCUAGGAUCUGACUACACCAAAUUCCCAAUCUGCGAGAAGGACUGGAGAAAGGUUCGCAUCAGGGACAAGGUCUAUAAUGAAUGUGUAAAGAUAGUAGAGGAAUUAUCAAGCGUAUAAUAUUAAAAAUGCUAGGAAGGGUUUGGAAGGAAACGAAGAACAAGUUAUACCAUCACUGCUACGACUCAGAACUUUCACUUGAAGAAAAUAUUGAAAACUGUCCACUAGGAAUUACUGCAGACCAUUGGAGAUGGUUUCUCGAUUAUCGCAAUAGUGAAGAGACAAAGCAUGAUAGGAGAAGUGUAAGAAAAAUGCUGAGAAUCGAUCAAAGCAGCUUUACACCCACACUGGCGGAUUGAAAAGCUUGGCAAGGCUCGGAGAAGAAGAGUUGGAACGACAAGGGAGGAGAGUUAGUAGAGGAGAGUUGUAUCUCUUAACGCACAAAAGACCUAAUGGCUCCUAUAUCCAUGAUGCAGCUCGUGCUAUUGGAGAAAGAAAGAAAUGAGGCUAUUGAGCAAAGUGAUGAAUCCUCUAGACUGUUGUCUCAGAAUGAUUUGCUUGUUCAAGCUCUCGGAAAGGAGCACUCGGAUAAGGUGCGUGGCAUGGGUUUAGGGCCGACUUCUAGUCAAGUCUUCGGUAUAAAUUACCAUCAGCCGAGCAAUGGUUUUGAAAGGGAGGAGACCCAAAGGGUGCUGCUUGAACUACAAGCAGAGUUGGCAGCCGAAAAAUUAAAAAGGAAGGCAGUGGAGGAUGAAGUAGCAGUCGAGAAGACAAAAAGACAGGCAGUGGAGGAUGAAGUAGCAGCUGGGAAGGUAAGGAUGAAGGCAAUGGAGAGUGUAUGUCUACUUCAAGGGCAAGGUGGGAAGCUGCUAUCAGACGUCACCGCAUGGAUGAGUGCGUUGGAGGGACAGAUUAGAAAGUAAAUCUUAGGAUUGUGGAACCUUUUUUUUUAGAUAUACACCUUUUUGGUGUUGAUUACUUUUACUCUUAGUAAGGAGUACACUUUAUUGAUAUUUGGAUAAUUAUAUCAAUUAAAUUAAUGGUUUUGC